AAGAUUGCGAGGAAGAGUUGGAAAUUGGUACUUUUCACCCUUCUCUUCCCCUAAAGUCAUUCUCACCUUUCCCUCAGCUCACAGGCGAAAGGAGGGUACCUGACAAUCCCCUCAAGGGGAGGUUCAGCAGAUACAAAUGAGGACUGAACAAAAUAUUAGAACAGUUCAAAGAAAAGGUGACUGCAAGUUGGAAAUCAUAAACAUCACGUGUUCAUACAUUACAUACUCAUGCACCAAUAUUUGCUUUAAGGAUAAAGGCUUUUCUUAAAAAUGGAUCAGGGCCGGGCAUGGUGGCUCACGCCUGUAAUCUCAGCACUUAGGGAGGCCAAGAUGGGUGGAUCACCUGAGGUCAGGAGUUCAAGACCAGCCUUGCCAACAUGGUGAGACCCCAUCUCUACUAAAAAUACAAAAAUUAGCCGGGUGUGGUGGUGCAUACCUGUAAUCCCAGCCACUUGGGAAGCUGAGGCAGGAGAAUUGCUUGAACCCAGGAGGUGGAGGUUGCAGUGAGCCAAGAUCAUGCCACUGCACUCCAGCCUGGGCAACAGAAAUGGAUCAGUCGAUUAGAGUUCGGCACUUAUUAUUAUUAUUAUUAUUUGGCAUACAUAACACUGAAAGUGUCUAUUCCUAAAUUCUAGUUGAGAUGUCUUUCAGUAACUUAGGAAGCCAUUGGGAAACAAUCUGAAUGCAAACUUUUUCUAGAGUUUUUGUUUGCCAAUUUUUCACAAUCAUCACAUCUAGGUAUAACUUAACAGAGAAAAGUUUGUGACUCGACUAUACUCUUUCCAAAGUUUUAACUUUACAAAAAACAGCUUGAUUUUCCCCUAAUAGUUCUUUAUUAUGUAUGCAUCCCAUAUAUGUUUAUAUAUGUUCAAGUGUACAACAAAAAUUCACAAAAUACUAUAAAGGAUGUACCUUGUGAUUUUCCAUUCUAGCCCAAGGAAGUUGAGCCAGUUCUAUUCUUUCAAAUGCAGACCACGACCCAUUAAAUUGAUUUAACAACCUGCAAAUAGUCAGGCUCCCCAGCAUGAAAGGCACUGCUUCAGUAGCUGUCUGUAAGCACCAAGCAGUGAGGGCAGAGAGGAGAACCCCUGAGCACCUCCCCAUACCACCGACUGCAUCUCAGUGUAAUGUCCCAAUAGCUCAGAGGAAACAUAGCAAAUGCUUAAAGUAUCAACACUACUGAAAUCAAUGAUGUAAUCUUUGAACUCACAGUUACACUUGUCUUUGUUUUGUGAAAGCAUACAAAUGUCUUGUUCUCCAUCAAGACAGGAAAAGAGCACACAGACAGCUUCAGUGCCUGCUCCUCCCUGUGCUCAAGGUUCACUCCAUUCUUCCAAUUUUUUUCCUCUAAGUUCAGAGGCUGGCAAACUGCAGUCCAUGGGCCAAGUCUGGCCAGUGCCUGUUUUUGUCAAAUUGCGUCGGAACACAGCCACGCUGGAUUUGUGUGUGUGUUGUCUGUGGUUGUUUUCAAGCUGCAGCGGCAGAGUUGUUUGAUCGGAGAAGGUCUGCCACACAAAGCCCAAGACAUUCACGAACUGGCCGAAAAGAUGGCUCACCCCCCGCACUAAGUCAUCUCCUAGCUCUGAGAAAAUGGCGAUCCUCUGAGAACUCAGAAGCUCUUUCCCCAUAUUAAAUUAUUUGCUCACAAACUUGUUUACUGGGAUAAGAAGAAGGUGGUAUUAU
rnacentral:lncRNA from 1 species